rnacentral:rRNA from 1 species
AGUGACCGAUAGCGCAUAGUACUGUGAAGGAAAGGUGAAAAGGACCCCGGGAGGGGAGUGAAAGAGAACCUGAAACCCUGUGUCUACAAGCUGUGGAAGUGCUUUAUAUGUACGACCGCGUACUUUUUGUAGAACGGUCCGGCGAGUUACGCUUACUGGCAAGGUUAAGCACUUCAGGUGUGGAGCCGUAGGGAAACCAAGUCUUAAGAGGGCCAGAGUCAGUAGGAGUAGACCCGAAACCGGGUGAUCUAUCCAUGUCCAGGUUGAAGCUGCCGUAAGAGGUAGUGGAGGACCGAACCCACAUCCGUUGAAAAGGGUGGGGAUGAGGUGUGGAUAGGGGAGAAAUUCCAAUCGAACCCGGAGAUAGCUGGUUCUCCUCGAAAUAGCUUUAGGGCUAGCCUCGAUACAGAUUUGCGGAGGUAGAGCACUGAAUUUCCUAGGGGGCGUCAAAGCCUACCGAAGAAUAUCAAACUCCGAAUGCCGCGUAAUCGAUUAUCGGGAGUCAGACUGCACGAGAUAAGUUGGGCGGUCAAAAGGGAAAGAGCCCAGACCUUCAGUUAAGGUCCCCAAGUGCGCGUUAAGUGGAAAAGGAUGUGGGAUUUCGAAGACAACCAGGAUGUUGGCUCAGAAGCAGCCAUCCAUUCAAAGAGUGCGUAAUAGCUCACUGGUCGAGAGGUCCUGCGCCGAAAAUGUCCGGGGCUGAAACGCGCCACCGAAACUAAGGAACCGAAAGGUUGGUAGAGGAGCAUUGCAUGCGGGAAGAAGCAGUACCGUAAGGAGCUGUGGACUGCAUGGAAGAGAGAAUGCCGGAAUGAGUAGCGAGAAUAAGGUGAGAAUCCUUAUGGCCGAAUAUCCAAGGUUUCCAGAGUAAAGCUGAUCUGCUCUGGGUAAGUCGGGGCCUAAGGCGAGGACGAGAGUCGUAGCCGAUGGACAACAGGUGGAGAUUCCUGUACUGCGGUAUGACAGAACUGUGGGGACACGUAAGGAAAGCGGAAGCCGGGAAUGGAAAGCCCGGUGCAAGCGGGGUACCAGCCACUUUGGCAAAUCCGGGUGGCAAUGGGAAGCCGUGAUGCGGAGCGAAAUAAAGUAGCGAAGUCCGUGAGCCAUGCGUCAAGAAAAGCCGCUAUCGUUUAUACCGUACCCGUACCGUAAACCGACACAGGUGGAUGAGGAGAGAAUCCUAAGGCCGGCGGAAGAAGCAUUGUCAAGGAACUCGGCAAAAUGGCCCCGUAACUUAGGGAUAAGGGGUGCCUGGGAAACCAGGCCGCAGAGAAUAGGCUCAAGCAACUGUUUAGCAAAAACACAGGUCUAUGCGAAACCGAAAGGUGAGGUAUAUGGGCUGACGCCUGCCCGGUGCUGGAAGGUUAAGAGGAGAGGUUAGGGAAACCGAAGCUUUGAAUUGAAGCCCCAGUAAACGGCGGCCGUAACUAUAACGGUCCUAAGGUAGCGAAAUUCCUUGUCGGGUAAGUUCCGACCCGCACGAAAGGCGUAAUGAUUUGAGCGCUGUCUCGACAAUGCACCCGGUGAAAUUGAAAUACCAGUGAAGAUGCUGGUUACCUGCGCCAGGACGGAAAGACCCCAUGGAGCUUUACUCCAGCUUGAUACUGGGAUUCGAUAUUGCAUGUACAGGAUAGGUGGGAGACUUUGAACUCAUGACGCCAGUCGUGAGGGAGUCACUGUUGGGAUACCACCCUUGUAGUAUUGGAUUUCUAACCAGCAGCCGUGAACCGGCUGGGGGACAAUGUCAGGUGGGGAGUUUGACUGGGGCGGUCGCCUCCGAAAGGGUAUCGGAGGCGCUCAAAGGUUCCCUCAGAAUGGUUGGAAACCAUUCGAAGAGUGCAAAGGCAGAAGGGAGCUUGACUGCGACACCGACGGGUGGAGCAGGUACGAAAGUAGGACUUAGUGAUCCGGUGGUAUAAAGUGGGAUUGCCAUCGCUCAACGGAUAAAAGCUACCCUGGGGAUAACAGGCUUAUCACUCCCAAGAGUUCACAUCGACGGAGUGGUUUGGCACCUCGAUGUCGGCUCAUCGCAUCCUGGGGCUGUAGUAGGUCCCAAGGGUUGGGCUGUUCGCCCAUUAAAGCGGUACGCGAGCUGGGUU